rnacentral:rRNA from 1 species
CUCUCAGGAGACUGCCGGGGUCAACUCGGAGGAAGGUGGGGACGACGUCAAGUCAUCAUGCCCCUUAUGUCUUGGGCUGCACACGUGCUACAAUGGCCGGUACAAUGAGCUGCGAUGCCGUGAGGCGGAGCGAAUCUCAAAAAGCCGGUCUCAGUUCGGAUUGGGGUCUGCAACUCGACCCCAUGAAGUCGGAGUUGCUAGUAAUCGCAGAUCAGCAUUGCUGCGGUGAAUACGUUCCCGGGCCUUGUACACACCGCCCGUCACGUCACGAAAGUCGGUAACACCC